GCGCUUGUGGUGGAAUUGGUAGACACGCCAGACUUAGGAUCUGGUGCCUUCGGGCGUGUAAGUUCGAGUCUUAUCAGGCGUACCA
rnacentral:tRNA from 1 species